rnacentral:rRNA from 1 species
GAUGAACGCUAGCGGGAGGCCUAACACAUGCAAGCCGAGCGGUAUUGUUUCUUCGGAAAUGAGAGAGCGGCGUACGGGUGCGGAACACGUGUGCAACCUGCCUUUAUCUGGGGGAUAGCCUUUCGAAAGGAAGAUUAAUACUCCAUAAUAUAUUGAACGGCAUCGUUUAAUAUUGAAAGCUCCGGCGGAUAGAGAUGGGCACGCGCAAGAUUAGCUAGUUGGUGAGGUAACGGCUCACCAAGGCGAUGAUCUUUAGGGGGCCUGAGAGGGUGAUCCCCCACACUGGUACUGAGACACGGACCAGACUCCUACGGGAGGCAGCAGUGAGGAAUAUUGGUCAAUGGGUGCAAGCCUGAACCAGCCAUCCCGCGUGAAGGACGACUGCCCUAUGGGUUGUAAACUUCUUUUGUAUAGGGAUAAACCUACCCUCGUGAGGGUAGCUGAAGGUACUAUACGAAUAAGCACCGGCUAACUCCGUGCCAGCAGCCGCGGUAAUACGGAGGGUGCAAGCGUUAUCCGGAUUUAUUGGGUUUAAAGGGUCCGUAGGCGGACUUAUAAGUCAGUGGUGAAAGCCUGUCGCUUAACGAUAGAACUGCCAUUGAUACUGUAAGUCUUGAGUAUAUUUGAGGUAGCUGGAAUAAGUAGUGUAGCGGUGAAAUGCAUAGAUAUUACUUAGAACACCAAUUGCGAAGGCAGGUUACCAAGAUAUAACUGACGCUGAGGGACGAAAGCGUGGGGAGCGAACAGGAUUAGAUACCCUGGUAGUCCACGCCGUAAACGAUGCUAACUCGUUUUUGGGCUUUAGGGUUCAGAGACCAAGCGAAAGUGAUAAGUUAGCCACCUGGGGAGUACGCUCGCAAGAGUGAAACUCGAAGGAAUUGACGGGGGCCCGCACAAGCGGUGGAUUAUGUGGUUUAAUUCGAUGAUACGCGAGGAACCUUACCAAGACUUAAAUGGGAAUUGACAGCUUUAGAAAUAGAGCUUUCUUCAGACAAUUUUCAAGGUGCUGCAUGGUUGUCGUCAGCUCGUGCCGUGAGGUGUUAGGUUAAGUCCUGCAACGAGCGCAACCCCUGUCACUAGUUGCCAUCAUUCAGUUGGGGACUCUAGUGAGACUGCCUACGCAAGUAGAGAGGAAGGUGGGGAUGACGUCAAAUCAUCACGGCCCUUACGUCUUGGGCCACACACGUAAUACAGUGGCCGGUACAGAGGGCAGCUACACAGCGAUGUGAUGCAAAUCUCGAAAGCCGGUCUCAGUUCGGAUUGGAGUCUGCAACUCGACUCUAUGAAGCUGGAAUCGCUAGUAAUCGCGCAUCAGCCAUGGCGCGGUGAAUACGUUCCCGGGCCU